UAUUGCACAUUACUAAGUUG
rnacentral:ncRNA from 2 species